rnacentral:rRNA from 1 species
AGUGAAGCGGCAACAGCUCAAAUUUGAAAUCUGGCCCCCAGGGUCCGAGUUGUAAUUUGCAGAGGAUGCUUUUGGCAAGGUGCCUUCCGAGUUCCCUGGAACGGGACGCCAUAGAGGGUGAGAGCCCCGUCUGGUUGGAUACCGAGCCUCUGUAAAGCUCCUUCGACGAGUCGAGUAGUUUGGGAAUGCUGCUCUAAAUGGGAGGUAUAUGUCUUCUAAAGCUAAAUAUUGGCCAGAGACCGAUAGCGCACAAGUAGAGUGAUCGAAAGAUGAAAAGCACUUUGAAAAGAGGGUUAAAUAGUACGUGAAAUUGUUGAAAGGGAAGCGCUCAUGACCAGACUUGGGCCCGGUGAAUCAUCCAGCGCUCGUCGCUGGUGCACUUUGCCGGGCUCAGGCCAGCAUCAGUUCGCUCCGGGGGACAAAGGCUCUGGGAAUGUGGCUCCUCCGGGAGUGUUAUAGCCCACUGCGCAAUACCCUGGGGCGGACUGAGGUUCGCGCAUUCGUGCAAGGAUGCUGGCGUAAUGGUCAUCAGUGACCCGUCUUGAAACACGGACCAAGGAGUCGUCUUCGUAUGCGAGUGUUCGGGUGUAAAACCCCUACGCGUAAUGAAAGUGAACGCAGGUGAGAGCUUCGGCGCAUCAUCGACCGAUCCUGAUGUUCUCGGAUGGAUUUGAGUAAGAGCAUACGGGGCCGGACCCGAAAGAAGGUGAACUAUGCCUGUAUAGGGUGAAGCCAGAGGAAACUCUGGUGGAGGCUCGCAGCGGUUCUGACGUGCAAAUCGAUCGUCAAAUAUGGGCAUGGGGGCGAAAGACUAAUCGAACCUUCUAGUAGCUGGUUUC